rnacentral:tRNA from 1 species
CCCGCGCGUAGGCGGCCGGGUCAAGCCCCGCCGGUUGUGCGUCGGCGGUCAGACGUGAAUCGGCGGCGGCGCGAUCAUCCUGCCCGCGAGC